UGCAGUCGAACGCACUCUCGUUUAGAUUGAAGGAGCUUGCUCCUGAUUGAUAAACAUUUGAGUGAGUGGCGGACGGGUGAGUAACACGUGGGUAACCUGCCCUAAAGUGGGGGAUAACAUUUGGAAACAGAUGCUAAUACCGCAUAAAACCUAACACCGCAUGGUGUAGGGUUGAAAGAUGGUUUCGGCUAUCACUUUAGGAUGGACCCGCGGUGCAUUAGUUAGUUGGUGAGGUAAAGGCUCACCAAGACCGUGAUGCAUAGCCGACCUGAGAGGGUAAUCGGCCACACUGGGACUGAGACACGGCCCAGACUCCUACGGGAGGCAGCAGUAGGGAAUCUUCCACAAUGGACGAAAGUCUGAUGGAGCAACGCCGCGUGAGUGAAGAAGGUUUUCGGAUCGUAAAACUCUGUUGUUGGAGAAGAAUGUAUCUGAUAGUAACUGAUCAGGUAGUGACGGUAUCCAACCAGAAAGCCACGGCUAACUACGUGCCAGCAGCCGCGGUAAUACGUAGGUGGCAAGCGUUGUCCGGAUUUAUUGGGCGUAAAGCGAGCGCAGGCGGUUUCUUAAGUCUGAUGUGAAAGCCUUCGGCUCAACCGAAGAAGUGCAUCGGAAACUGGGAAACUUGAGUGCAGAAGAGGACAGUGGAACUCCAUGUGUAGCGGUGAAAUGCGUAGAUAUAUGGAAGAACACCAGUGGCGAAGGCGGCUGUCUGGUCUGUAACUGACGCUGAGGCUCGAAAGCGUGGGUAGCAAACAGGAUUAGAUACCCUGGUAGUCCAUGCCGUAAACGAUGAGUGCUAGGUGUUGGAGGGUUUCCGCCCUUCAGUGCCGCAGCUAACGCAUUAAGCACUCCGCCUGGGGAGUACGACCGCAAGGUUGAAACUCAAGGAAUUGACGGGGGCCCGCACAAGCGGUGAGCAUGUGUUUAAUUCGAAGCACGCGAAGAACCUUACC
rnacentral:rRNA from 1 species